rfam:Dufourea novaeangliae contig204, whole genome shotgun sequence.
CAAUCGGCCCUUUUCGGGGCCACGAAUUUUCAUAACGUAAGAACA